CUCGGCAUUGUGCCGGAGGCGCCAGCGCGAAAAUCCAAUUAAUCCGUUUAAAAAAAAAACUACACACGGGCGUUUCGAUAAUCGCCAUGUCACAUUAGUUGGGUGCGCGCGCAACCGGCUUAAUUAAUUUCAAAUGGGAUUGUUAAAAAUUGAAUAAACUUUAACAAGAGAGUGCGCCCGCACAUUACAUACAACAGAACUGUUAAUUGUUUAAAAUUGCAUCAAAAGUCAGCGGGUGUGAAUCUAAGAAGGUUAGAAGCAGCGUAUUUGUUUAAAAAGAAAACAUAACCUCAAACAAUUCAUUGCUUGUCAAGUAAAAGUGUCUCGUGUUUUUUGUCGGGAAUUGCUUUAAAAGUAAAUGCUGUGAAGAUUUCAGGUAUGCCACAAACACUUGUGAAGAAUUUCUGCAACUUAGGUGCAUGUAGAAAUGUUUUAAAGUGCUGUAUUAACGAAAUUCAGGGAAUCAUACAAAUAAUAAACUUAAAAAACUGUUUUACUUGA